CCUKGUGCCAGCAGCCGCGAUAAUUCCAGCUCCAAUAGCGUAUAUUAAAGUUGUUGCGGUUAAAAAGCUCGUAGUUGGUUCUGUGUGCCAUGCUGUUGGUUCACCGCCUGUCGGUGCAACUAACAUGUCAUGGAACGUCUUGUCGGUGGUAAUUAAAGACCUAUUUUUUAAGGGAAAGUAUUUGCUUGAACUUAAAUAUUUAGGUUCCUUUAAUUACCGAUUAGUUCCUACCGCGGUGCUCUUCACUGAGUGUCGAGGUCGGCCGACAAGUUUACUUUGAACAAAUUAGAGUGCUUAAAGCAGGCAAAAGUCUGCCUUGAAUAGUGGUGCAUGGAAUAAUAGAAUAGGACCUUGGUUCUAUUUUGCUGGUUUUCUGAAUCCAAGGUAAUGAUCAAUAUGGACAGGCGGGGGCAUUCGUAUUGCGACGUUAGAGGUGAAAUUCUUGGAUCGUCGCAAGACGAACUAGAGCGAAAGCAUUUGCCAAGUAUGUCUUAAUUGAUCAAGAACGAAAGUUAGAGGUUCGAAGGCGAUCAGAUACCGCCCUAGUUCUAACCAUAAACGAUGCCAGCUAGCGAUCCGCCGAUGUUUAUCUCAUGACUCGACGGGCAGCUCCUCGGGAAACCAAAGCUUUUGGGUUCCGGGGGAAGUAUGGUUGCAAAGCUGAAACUUAAAGGAAUUGACGGAAGGGCACCACCAGGAGUGGAGCUUGCGGUUUAAUUUGACUCAACACGGGAAACUUUAUCAGGCCCAGACAUUGGAAGGAUUGACAGAUUGAUAGCUCUUUCUUGAUUCAAUGGGUAGUGGUGCAUGGCCGUCCUUAGUUGGUGGAACGAUUUGUCUGGUUAAUUCCGAUAACGAACGAGACUCUAGCAUACUAACUAGACGCUUGGUAUUUUUGCUACCAGCGUUUUUAUUCUUCUUAGAGGGACAGGCGGCGUUUAGCCGCACGAGAUUGAGCAAUAACAGGUCAGGGAUGC
rnacentral:rRNA from 1 species